GACGGGAGCUCUGCUCAGGCUUCAACAUGGCGGGCCGUUUCGGUUGACUUCGCCUGUGGAAACCGAAUUCCCCCUCCAUGGUUUCCCCAGGAUAUGAGUUGGGGGCCUCACCUCGCCUAUAAGGGUCAGGCGAGCUUUCUGGAUGCUCGAGGGACCUUUCGGCCUGCGCAGCCGGAGCAGCUUGUCCCAAUGCCCUGCCAUUUCUGUGAGGGCCCACGAGGCCUGGAGGAGCCUCGGAGCCCCCGCAGGCCCUCGCGUCACUGCCUCAAGAGGGUGCUCGGAGCCCUGCUCGGGAGCUGGUCCCCAACGAGGUGUGGAACCCCUUCUUGCUGGAACUCCACGGAGAGACUGUCCUGCUAGGACCUGCUUCCAGAAGAGUUGAUCCCAGCCGUGAAAGUGCAUGAUGCCUUCAGCGAAGCAGGCAGGAAAGGCUCAAGUGAUCCUCCUGUAUCACCCUGGGUAUCAAGGCCAUUCAGUGGAAAAGAACAGUCUCUUCAGCAAGUGG
rnacentral:lncRNA from 1 species